GUGCCAGCAGCCGCGGUAAUACGGAGGGUGCAAGCGUUAAUCGGAAUUACUGGGCGUAAAGCGAGCGUAGGUGGCUUGAUAAGUCAGAUGUGAAAUCCCCGGGCUUAACCUGGGAACUGCAUCUGAUACUGUUGGGCUAGAGUAGGUGAGAGGGAGGUAGAAUUUCAGGUGUAGCGGUGAAAUGCGUAGAGAUCUGAAGGAAUACCGAUGGCGAAGGCAGCCUCCUGGCAUCAUAUUGACACUGAGGCUCGAAAGCGUGGGUAGCAAACAGGAUUAGAUACCCGCGUAGUCC
rnacentral:rRNA from 1 species